UGGGGAGUACGGCAGCAUGGUUAAAACUCAAAUGAAUUGACGGGGGCCCGCACAAGCGGUGGAGCAUGUGGUUUAAUUCGAUGCAACGCGAAGAACCUUACCUGGUCUUGACAUCCACGGAAGUUUUCAGAGAUGAGAAUGUGCCUUCGGGAACCGUGAGACAGGUGCUGCAUGGCUGUCGUCAGCUCGUGUUGUGAAAUGUUGGGUUAAGUCCCGCAACGAGCGCAACCCUUAUCCUUUGUUGCCAGCGGUCCGGCCGGGAACUCAAAGGAGACUGCCAGUGAUAAACUGGAGGAAGGUGGGGAUGACGUCAAGUCAUCAUGGCCCUUACGACCAGGGCUACACACGUGCUACAAUGGCGCAUACAAAGAGAAGCGACCUCGCGAGAGCAAGCGGACCUCAUAAAGUGCGUCGUAGUCCGGAUUGGAGUCUGCAACUCGACUCCAUGAAGUCGGAAUCGCUAGUAAUCGUGGAUCAGAAUGCCACGGUGAAUACGUUCCCGGGCCUUGUACACACCGCCCGUCACACCAUGGGAGUGGGUUGCAAAAGAAGUAGGUAGCUUAACCUUCGGGAGGGCGCUUACCACUUGUGAUCAGCCUGCC
rnacentral:rRNA from 1 species